rnacentral:pre_miRNA from 1 species
UAUUAAAUUUUUUAUCCAUUUCUACUAUUGAAGAUUGGCGUGGUUAAUGCAAUAACCAGACAACCGCAUGAACAUCAUGCUCAUGUACAGGGACCAGUUUUUAGUAGUAAAAAUGGUUAAAAUUUUUGACA